rnacentral:rRNA from 1 species
UACGUAGGCAGCAAGCGUUGUUCGGAGUUACUGGGCGUAAAGGGUGCGUAGGCGGCUUUUUAAGUUUGGUGUGAAAUCUCCCGGCUCAACUGGGAGGGUGCGCCGAAUACUGAGAAGCUAGAGUGUGGGAGAGGAAAGUGGAAUUCCUGGUGUAGCGGUGAAAUGCGUAGAUAUCAGGAGGAACACCGGUGGUGUAAACGGCUUUCUGGACCAUAACUGACGCUGAUGCGCGAAAGCUAGGGGAGCAAACAGG